CCAGUAUGGUGGAUGUCUCAGCAAGAUCAGGUCACCUAGUAAGUGCUGAUGCUUGUGGUUUGAAUGA